rnacentral:lncRNA from 1 species
AGGGCUGGAGACUUUGAGUUGGAAGGGUAGGAAGUACUAAUUUUGGUUUCAUAUAUUAAUAUUGGCUAAGUUGAUGCAUGCUCUUUUAUGAAUAACUUUUGAAGACAAUCAAUUUAUUAAUGGCAACAAGGAACAUCUUAUUAGAUAAAAAAAUAUUAUUUUUACCACAAAUCAUUUAUUUGGUUAUUAAAGGAUAGACUGAUCACCUUAUUGACUUCAUUUGUCUCUAAAUUAUUAUAAAAUCUAUCUAGACAUGCGGUUGAAGGAGG